UUGUGGGGCUCCAGCUCCCAGCCACGGCCGAGGCCCCCAGCAAGGUGGGCACCUGCUUUGGUCCAUCACCAUCCCCCCCGCGGCUGCUGAAACCUGAAGGGCCUGACAUUAGCAGAGACAGAGCAGCUUUCUCAAGAGGUCUGGAAAUCCCCUUCUGCUGAAGGCUUCAACUUUUUCUAACUUCAGCAGUCACUGGAAGUUUGCAAGAUGAAGGAAAGCUACAAGUGGCAACACAGCUUCUCGGAAGCUCCUGGGAGCACCGCCAGACCGAGGACAUCCAGACCACCAAGACAACAAUCCCUGGUUUUGGAUUUACUGUAGCUGUCUGCAAACCCACACAGCCAUGCCCCUGAACAAAAGGUUCAAUUGAGCAGGAGUCACGCGUACUCAUGCCAGCAGUCCCACAGUGACAAAUUAAGAUCAUGACAUACUUCUGAUGUUUGUACACUGUCCAGCACAACAUAAAAUCAAGUCAGACGUGC